GUUUGUGUCAAUGUGUCUGUGUAAAAAAAAAAACAGAAAAGUAAGGAUGUCCUUAGCACUUAGCAUGAAGCAAUAAUAAUGAGUAGUGAAGAUUGAAGUAUUUACAUCUUUGCUUGGGAAAAGUACGCACACAAUCACAAUCAGCAUCACAAUCACAGAUAGCAGAAUAGAAAUGAUGUGGUCGUGGUCUUGCAUGGAAGCGAUUCCCAAGGAGAAUCGAAUCAGCCCACUUCCCUUCCUCUUUAUUCUUCUUUACAGUUUGCCUCUACUUCCCUUUACCCUUCCCCAAGAGAAUGGAGGCCAGAUCUUGGCUCAUUCCUUCUUACCCUUCAAGAGAGAGAGACAUUAUAGGGAUAGAUGCACACAUUCAUUCAGAUAAAGC
rnacentral:lncRNA from 1 species